UACGUAGGGGGCAAGCGUUGUCCGGAAUCAUUGGGCGUAAAGCGCGUGUAGGCGGCUCGGUAAGUCUGCUCUGAAAGCCUGGGGCUCAACCCUGGGAGGCGGGUGGAUACUGCUGAGCUCGAGUCCGGAAGAGGCGAGUGGAAUUCCUGGUGUAGCGGUGAAAUGCGCAGAUAUCAGGAGGAACACCAAUGGCGAAGGCAGCUCGCUGGGACGGUACUGACGCUGAGACGCGAAAGCGUGGGGAGCGAACAGG
rnacentral:rRNA from 1 species